CCCUUAGAUGUUCUGGGCCGCACGCGCGCUACACUGACGAAUGCAACGAGCUUAUAACCUUGACCGAAAGGUCUGGGUAAUCUCCAAAUUUCGUCGUGAUGGGGAUAGAUUAUUGCAAUUAUUAAUCUUCAACGAGGAAUGCCUAGUAAGCGCAAGUCAUCAGCUUGCGUUGAUUACGUCCCUGCCCUUUGUACACACCGCCCGUCGCACCUACCGAUUGAAUGGUCCGGUGAAGCCUCCGGAUUGCGCGGCUUCGGCUGUCGCGAGAAGUUGGCUAAACCUUACCAUUUAGAGGAAGGUGAANUCGUANCA
rnacentral:rRNA from 1 species